GUAAGUCGUCAGUUUCUUCUAAUCUCUCCUGAGAAUCUCCUCCUCAAACUCAGGAACCAAAUCAGGUAAAAAGGAGGUUUUCCUCUCUAUAAAUAACCUCCUUUUUGUACAGUAGCAAAGUGUUCCUCAUGUUGCUUGGAGAGGAACCUUUGAGAGUCAAAUUCUCUCGAGCUUUCUGGCAUCUUCCUUUUGCCUACAGUGUUUCUUGUCUGGCGCGAUGUUGAAGCCAUCUCUGUAACAAACACAAUAUGCCACAAACCAUAGAAAUCCAUUGUCAAGAGUUAAUCCAUCAACAACUAUUCAGAUCCGGCAAAAUUUUCAAAAAUAAGUGCACAUAUUUCCCCCCAUUCAUAAUACAGAAAAACCACUAGAACACAGCAUACCCCCCGGCGGUACAGAGGCUUACCACCCAGCGGUAUGCAUCCAGCUUGAAUACCGCCCGGCGGCAGAGGCAUACCGCCCGGCAGUGAGGGGGUUUUCAAAAAUUUUCUACAAAACACACCUAAUCUCCACUCAACUACCAAUCCCUAUCAUGCAAUUCGAUUCCAAACAGUUUACUUGGACCAAAACAGUUCCCAAUUCAACAAUUUAUGCAAAGAAUCUCAAAGCCCUAAAUUACCUAAUUUCUACACAUGCUCAUCAAAAUUUUCAAAAUCAAGAACUUAACAAUUGAAAUUUUACAACUUACUUGAGUGGAGAUAUGAAUGCUAGCAACAAUUGCUUCAAUAGAUGAUGGAAAACUCUAAAUACACUCCCACCAAGAAAAACCCAAAAAUGAGCAAGAACAAAACCUUUUUUGUGAAUGGGUGCUGAGAAAGUGUAUAGAAAUCUCUCUAAAACCCUCUAGGAAGUGCAAAUCUAGAGCAAGGAAGCAAGGAGACCGCCUGACGACACUCAAAGGGGCAAGAAAAAGUGAAGAAGUUCUGAAAAUACCCAGCUUUUAAAGAGCUCGGGUUUUGUUGUCCGCCGCCACCGCCCGGCGGCAAAGUGGUACCGCCCGGCGGUGGCUUAAAAUUUUCCUUCCCCUUUUUCUUGUUUGCCUCUUUGUGAUUUCCCUUGGUGACCCCUGAUCUAUGCCCUAGAUUUUCCAAACACAAGAUUUUCCUCACUCAAAUGCAUGUGCUCACACAGAAAGUAAAAAAAUAACAGAAUUUUGAAAAACAGAAAACAAACAAAGAAAUUCAAAUAAUGAACAAGCAGUUGAGAAAGUCUUCCCAAACACCCAGCAGUAGGUGUCAAACUUCCUUCUGCUUAGUAUCUCCUUCUUCUUCUUCUUUACGCUGAACCUUUUCAAGAAAUUGAUCAUGCCAAGCACAUGUUUCCAUCCAUCAAUGAUAAGAGCCUUGAUCUCUAAUCUCUCAAAGAUCUCCUUGAAAUACUUAACCCUAUUUUCCUUCCUAGGGUUUUUCUUAUUAUGAGGAAAUGGUUCUUUACAUGAUUUUUUUCUGUUUCCUCUCUUCCUCUUUCUCUUAAAUUUUUUUUUCUUGACCUUCUCUUUUUCUUUCUCCUCCCUUUCUUUAUUUUCAAUUUUUUUCUUUUUUUUCUUUUUCUUUUCUCAACCAUGGCUUUUCCUACCUCAUCUUUCUUCUCACUCUCCUUCAAACUUUUUAUUUUUAUCUCUUCGAUCUCUUCCAUAUUUUUCUCAACAAUUACUUCUUUUGUUUUUGUUUCCUCUUCCAACAUCUCUCUAGCUCUUCUUCCUCUUUCU
rnacentral:lncRNA from 1 species